rnacentral:rRNA from 1 species
AUGAACGCUGGCGGCGUGCCUAAUACAUGCAAGUCGCGCGAACAGAUGAAGAGCUUGCUCCUCUGACGUUAGCGGCGGACGGGUGAGUAACACGUGGAUAACCUACCUAUAAGACUGGGAUAACUUCGGGAAACCGGAGCUAAUACCGGAUAAUAUAUUGAACCGCAUGGUUCAAUAGUGAAAGACGGUUUUGCUGUCACUUAUAGAUGGAUCCGCGCCGCAUUAGCUAGUUGGUAAGGUAACGGCUUACCAAGGCAACGAUGCGUAGCCGACCUGAGAGGGUGAUCGGCCACACUGGAACUGAGACACGGUCCAGACUCCUACGGGAGGCAGCAGUAGGGAAUCUUCCGCAAUGGGCGAAAGCCUGACGGAGCAACGCCGCGUGAGUGAUGAAGGUCUUCGGAUCGUAAAACUCUGUUAUUAGGGAAGAACAAAUGUGUAAGUAACUAUGCACGUCUUGACGGUACCUAAUCAGAAAGCCACGGCUAACUACGUG